rnacentral:rRNA from 1 species
CCUACGGGAGGCAGCAGUAGGGAAUAUUGCUCAAUGGGGGAAACCCUGAAGCAGCAACGCCGCGUGGAGGAUGAAGGUUUUCGGAUUGUAAACUCCUUUUGUUAGAGAAGAUAAUGACGGUAUCUAACGAAUAAGCACCGGCUAACUACGUGCCAGCAGCCGCGGUAAUACGGAGGGUGCAAGCGGUACUCGGAAUCACUGGGCGUAAAGAGCGCGUAGGCGGGAUAGCAAGUCAGAUGUGAAAUCCUAUGGCUUAACCAUAGAACUGCAUUUGAAACUGUUAUUCUAGAGUAUGGGAGAGGUAGGUGGAAUUCUUGGUGUAGGGGUAAAAUGCGUAGAGAUCAAGAGGAAUACUCAUUGCGAAGGCGACCUGCUAGAACAUAACUGACGCUGAUGCGCGAAAGCGUGGGGAGCAAACAGGAUUAGAUACCCGAGUAGUC